AUACGGAGGGUGCAAGCGUUAAUCGGAAUUACUGGGCGUAAAGCGCUCGUAGGCGGUUGAUUAAGUCGGAUGUGAAAGCCCAGGGCUCAACCUGGGAAUUGCAUUCGAUACUGCUUGGCUAGAGUAUGGUAGAGGGAAGUGGAAUUUCCGGUGUAGCGGUGAAAUGCGUAGAUAUCGGAAGGAACACCAGUGGCGAAGGCGACUUCCUGGGCCAAUACUGACGCUGAGGUGCGAAAGCGUGGGGAGCAAACAGGAUUAGAUACCCCAGUAGUCC
rnacentral:rRNA from 1 species